AACAAGUGUAUUUUGUGAGUUUUUGUAUCCAAUGUUUAAUCGUCCAUCUUAUCUGAAAAAAAAAUAUGAUUAGUAUUUUUAUUGUUAUUACAUAAUAAAACAUGAAUAGUACUUUAUAUAUGACUAUUUUUAAAAAAAAUUCUAUAAUUUUUUAAUUAGAAAAAUAAUCAAUCGUUAAACACGAAAAUUCACAACUAUAUUUAUA
rfam:Oryza sativa Japonica Group DNA, chromosome 10, cultivar: Nipponbare, complete sequence.